rnacentral:rRNA from 1 species
AGGACGAACGCUGGCGGCGUGCUUAACACAUGCAAGUCGAACGGAAAGGCCCGCUUGCGGGUACUCGAGUGGCGAACGGGUGAGUAACACGUGGGCAACCUGCCCUCAGCUUCGGGACAACUCCUGGAAACGGGUGCUAAUACCGAAUAUUGACCUUUGAUCGCAUGGUCGUGGGUUGAAAGUUUUUUCGGCUGGGGAUGGGCCCGCGGCCUAUCAGCUUGUUGGUGGGGUGAUGGCCUACCAAGGCGACGACGGGUAGCCGGCCUGAGAGGGCGACCGGCCACACUGGAACUGAGACACGGUCCAGACUCCUACGGGAGGCAGCAGUGGGGAAUAUUGCGCAAUGGGCGGAAGCCUGACGCAGCGACGCCGCGUGAGGGAUGAAGGUCUUCGGAUUGUAAACCUCUUUCAGUAGGGACGAAUUAAGACGGUACCUGCAGAAGAAGCACCGGCUAACUACGUGCCAGCAGCCGC